UUGGGACAUUUUUUUUGGCGUUUCCAGCAGCCCAAAUCCAGAUCGGCCCACUUUAGUUCCAAUCAACCAACUCCUCUUCCCCAAUUUCCAAUCGACCCAGCCCACUCACCUCUAACCCUGACCUGGCCCACCUUCUUUUCUCAAAGAAAAACACAGCCAUCGCGUGCAUUUUCCAGAAUAACAGCAGCAACAUCACAGUGUCUUCACGACUGCUCCAAAACGCAGCAGAAACAGCAACCAAACGGCCCCUACUCAUCUCCAGUUCAUACGAAAAUACAUGGAAACUUCAUGCCUUGUACGCGAUGCAAUGGUACUCUACAAUUUUAUUGCCUUCUUGUUCCCAACCCUGUUGGUUCGUAUAGCAAAGCACUAGAAAAGCAUGUGAAAUAGUCCAUGCGCCUUGGGAUUGAGACACGUAGCAUCUCAAGGACAAUCAAAUUGAUCCGAGACGUCCAUAUCCCCUUUCCUCUUCAGGAAUGGGUUGAAAUCUCAGAAAAAGGGUGUUUCCCUUUAUUGGUAAAAGGUUUCUGGGAGUUUGAAUUUUGAACGGGCCCUUUAAUCCAAGAUUUUUAUCCGUUUCCCCCUGAAAGAUUGGAACCCUAGUUUUCUUCUAUAAAUACCUCCUCUUUCUCCAUUAUUAAAGGUGGGAAAAAGGAUUGGGAAAUAUAGGAGUCAAAUUAGUACGGACAGAGAGUGAAAAAACAAUGUUAUGUUAAAUAUUCUUGACAUUCAAAGCCAUAGUCUUUCAAGUUUAGAUUGUAGCCUCUUUCUCGCUUGUUGUUCGUCAGAAUUCGGUGAGGUCGAGGUCGGUGGUUGAAGCAUUUUGUCCCUCCUUCAUCUCCAGUCGCAUCCCAGAACCAGCAUGAACUCUCUUGUUUGAGUCAAUUUCGACUCUCUAUCUCUUGCAUUCGUUUUUAUUUGAGUCAACCUCCUUUAGAUCGAUUGAAAGGAAGCUAAUAUUAUUGGGUUAAACACCCAAGAAGACAGCAUCAGUAGUAGCUGAAAAGGCUAAAAAAAUAGCAUUUCCUUGGACUUGAAAAGCCUGAAAAUGGCAGCAGCUGAAGCAGAGUUCCAAUAGCCUCAGAAGGCUGAAGAUUGAAGAUAAAUAUUGGGUUGAAACCCAUAAUCAAUAUGGCAGCAGUGGUAGCAGGGUAGCAGAUUAAGGGCCUGGAAGCCCAAAUUUUAAUCUCUCAAUUAUAUUUAACUCUUUUAUAUUGUGUGUUUGCUAUGAUCUUACUAACUUAUUUGUUUGGCCUUUGAACUAGAUGAAUCCUCUCCAAAAUCAAUGUUAUUUCUUAAAUUGUAUUUCUUAUUUCUUAUCACUUGUAGAAUGACUUAAGAACCUUGUAUGUUUUUUCAUAAUUAUUGAAAAGCUCUAUAUCCA